UUGAUAUUUAAAAAAUCCGAACUAACCCGACCAUGUACACCCCUACCACGUAUACAUCUGUGAAUGAACUAAUAUUCUCUAAACUGGAAAAAAAAUUCAUUCCAACAAUGAAACGGAAACUUGUCAUGCGGAAUUACUUUAGUAGUAGGGCCUCUUCAAGUGUUAUGCCUCUUCAUUUUUGGUAUGCUACACAGAGAAAAUGUCAUCACAACUAAGAGCGGAAUUAAAUAAAUACAACAGAUCUUAACAUGUAUAAUCUACGCACUCUCUUUUAGAAAAGAGAGGAGUGUAGUCCUUGUGGCUCAACAAUGUCAUUAGGUGACAUCAUACAUAUACAGAUGAACCAUCUAUUUAGCCACUUUAAAUUUUGUAAAAGAAAAAACAAACUUGGAAAUUACUCAAUCGAGUCCCUAAACACAUAAUUUUCAAGUGUAACAAAAAUGUCUUUGUGACGCAUUAUGUGAACAGGAGGAAUAUCACAAUCAAACCAUGCGAACAUUAAACACACUUAUUCCUUUUAUAGGUGCAUAUGCAUUAAUUAAAC
rnacentral:lncRNA from 1 species